rnacentral:rRNA from 1 species
ACAACGGAUAUCUUGGCUCUCGCAACGAUGAAGAACGCAGCGAAAUGCGAUACGUAGUGUGAAUUGCAGAAUUCCGUGAACCAUCGAAUCUUUGAACGCAUAUUGCGCUCAACUCUUCGGAGAAGAGCAUGUCUGCCUCAGCGUCGGUUUACACCCUCAUCCCUCUUGCUUUCCAAAAGCA